UUCUCUCUUUCUCUCUCUCUCUCUCGCGCGCGCGCUUUUUUCUCGUCGUACUUGGACGAACGCGUAUUAUCAGGAUUAUUUGGCGCGUUGAGCACCGCGUACGAUUCAGAUAGGAGCUCUAAAUGCGGCGAAGCUCCUAUUUAGACUCCACGGUUGACUCACGCGGCCGUUAUUUUUGGAAAGUGGCGUGUUUUCGUUCGUUCGGCUGCGCAUACCGCGAAGCAAGCGAGAGAGAGAGAGAGAGAGAGAAACGAAGAGAAGCGCGUGCGUAAGCGAAAUGAGUUUACGUUUUCACGUGCAUGCGUGCAUGCGAUUACGGACGAGUACGAGCGAAUGACGUCACAAAUUUGCGUAUUACUACGCGGAAUGGUCGGAGAGAACGCCGAGGCGCGGUAAUUUUGAAUCGGCGGAAUUUCGUGAAAUUUAACGUCAAAUUUCGGGUUACGGAAGGAUUUGCUCAUUUGGCACGCAUUUUCGAUUAGAAAAUGAUUUUCUCGCUAGCUCGUAGGAGCCGUGUCGUUCGAACGGCCCUACGAGCUCGAUUGCGUCGCCCACGUAGGCGGAAAAUAAGUUUUUAUCGAUCACUAACCUACGACAACCAUCUGGCCCGGCCUGGCCCUCGACUAACCGUGGCACGCGUAAUAGGGGUGGAGCUCGAUUCCAAAGUCUCCCGAGAACGCUAGCCAACGACGAUGACGAGGAAGAUGAACGAGGAGAAUAGAAUCGUCGCUUCACGGCUGGUCAUCUCCCUGGAGAUUCGUCGGAAUGAUUUAACGGCAAGACGUUAAUUAACGGCAAGUCCCUCGUCACUGACCUUGCUACUCUUUGUGGAAGGAGCCAUAUUAUAGCGUCGACUAUACGUCUGGGACCUACCCCAAUCAAAUCGAGACUAAACUUCUUCCCUCUCCCAUGGCAGAGCUCGCUCUAAUCGCCCUUAGUCACGCUAGGAGGAAUUGUAGGAAGAGAGCGAAUGGAAAGCGGAAAGGACAGAUAGAGUCGCACGAUAUCAACGAUUAAAGUAAUCAAAUUCUUAUAACAAUUUCAAAACGUUAAAAAACUUUUAUCCAAAUAUAAUCGACUAGCAGGAGGAAAAAGAAAGGAAAUUGUCGGGCAAUCCUCGAAGCUACAAGUCUUCGAUAAUUUGCAUAUCUCAGCAGUAUUCCAAACGUCUUUGAGAAAGUCGAGGAAGGUGGUAUAGAAAAUUUCCACCUUUCAACCUUCUUCCUGCUUCUCUCGCUUGGCGACGAAGAGGACUAAGAUGACGACGACGACGACGACGACGACGACAACGACGACGACGGCGACGGCGACGACGUCUCGUCGAUUCGGGCUUUCGGGCUUUCGCUAAAACGCUAUAUAGUCCAGGUUCGAGGGAGAAUGCCGUGUAGUCUUCGGUCUGACGCACGAUAUAACGUUGGCAUGGCUGGAGGACUAUAGUCACUGGCUAGACUGCACCCCCGUCGAGUGUAGGCGGAGGGGGAAGGUCGACGUGGUUCGGGGCUUGGCUCGGAGGGGUGAGAAGGGAUGCAGACCGGAGCGAGAGAGGGCGGGGACUCCUACCACGGUGUUCGAGGUAGGGGGCGCUGGCUAGACACCGCUCAGACGGUCCAGGGGGUCGCAGGGGGUAAUUUCUGCAUUGGCGUCAACACCAACUAGGAAACUUUGCGAUUCUACUUGCAGCUGCCGGCUCGUGCGCGUGAAGCUCUUUUCCAAAGACUCCUCGGAGUGAAUUCAACCGAUUUGCCGGUGGCGUCAACUCGAUCGUCGAUUCGAAGCAUCGCGAGAACGCCACUCGAGUCUCCGGAAGCGCGAAGCGUCGGCUGCCUGGCGAACGAACGAACGGAUGGUUGGACGGAUGGAUAGGAUACGCAGGGACAGGUGGCUCUUCGACGAUCCUAAGUGGGCAGGAAGGACACCCGGGUUCUGACGAGGGGCGAGAGACAGACGGAUGGACUAGCUUGUUCGCUUACAAGUCAAAGAGAGGGAGAGGGAGAGGGAGAGAGAGAGAGAGAGAGGGUACAGUUUCGUGUUCGCCCGAUGCGUGCAAUGCAAUUUCCCGCAGGGCCGUCUGUCCGCUUGUGCGGUCGUGCAUGCCACUUACGCCAUUGUUCCUCCCCCUUUUCGCAUACGAAAGUGAACAUUCCCGAGAUCCGGGAGGAAUAUAACGCGAGCGAGCUGCUGACCCCUUGUCUCAAGGCGUAACACCUCGUCUACGAGAUGUAACCGAAUAAUGCUUUCUCUCUCUCUCUCUCUCUCUCUCUCUCGCGAUGAAUAGUAUUGAACAUCAGCAUUAACAUAUAAUUACUCGAAUCUUCGCUAUUUUUCAUUUCAUCUAGUUGAUCAGUUGGCGCUCCGAGAAGAUCAUUUAACGCACGGUUUAUCCUACAGCAGGAUGUACAUCUAGAAGAUGAAUAUCUUUUGGUCGAGCAAGCUCUCGGAAUGCGAGAGAAGAAAGGAAGGAAGACGUCUAGGGAUCGAUUCGAGCAAGCGGGAAACUAUGCGACUGGAGAAUAAUUUAUGCGAUAUUUUCCCGCAAAGCGAUAUUGUUACCGUGCGAGGGCACGAAUUGGAAACGUUCCACUUGGAUUGGUUCCAUCGGUUCGAGAUAGGACGGAUCAUCCAAGAGUUUUCACGCGUUUUCGU